AUUGAACUUGACUGCUGCUUGCUUGGUGCCUGACCCUGUGCAAGCCUGUGCCCCCUUUCCCAGGCUACUGGCUGUGAAACAGGGUGAGAGACGUGCUGACGUAGGAUGGAGAGAAGAGCCUAGAAGGCCUGGCGUGGGAAGAAGAUACAGCAACUUCAGGGGAAAGGCAGAGCGAGGCCCUGAGAGCUCUGGGUCGACAGUGCCUGACAGGUGCUGGCACAACGCCAUGGCAACAACUGACCAAGCAGUUUCUCUGGAGCAGACAGCCUGGGUCCAAAUCGCAGCCUCCUUGCUAGCUGUGUGAUCUCAGACAGGUGACUUAACUUUUCUGUGUCUCAGUGUCCAUGUUUGUAAAAUGGCAAUGUCACAAUAUCCAUCUUAUGAAGUUGUCAAGACUAAAAGAGUUAAUAUUUAUAAAGUCUUAGAAGAUGAUGGAACAUGAUAGUGUAUGAAAAUAGAAUGUGUACAUGUAUGUGUAACUGGGUCACCAUGCUGUACAGUAGAAAAAAAAAAGUUGUAUUGGGGAAAUAACUAUUAAAAAAAUUGAAAAUAAAUAAAUAAAUAAAAA
rnacentral:lncRNA from 9 species